AUACGGAGGAUGCGAGCGUUAUCCGGAUUUAUUGGGUUUAAAGGGUGCGUAGGCGGCCUUUUAAGUCAGCGGUGAAAGUCUGUGGCUCAACCAUAGAAUUGCCGUUGAAACUGGGAGGCUUGAGUAUGUUUGAGGCAGGCGGAAUGGGUGGUGUAGCGGUGAAAUGCUUAGAUAUCACGCAGAACCCCGAUUGCAAAGGCAGCCUGCCAAGCCAUGACUGACGCUGAUGCACGAAAGCGUAAGGAUCAAACAGGAUUAGAUACCCUGGUAGUCCACGCAGUAAACGAUGAUCACUAGCUGUUUGCGAUACAGUGUAAGCGGCACAGCGAAAGCGUUAAGUGAUCCACCUGGGGAGUACGCCGGCAACGGUGAAACUCAAAUGAAUUGGCGGGG
rnacentral:rRNA from 1 species